CCCUGACAGACGCCUUUUGCGUCUGACAUAACCCACGACAGGAGAUAAUCAUG
rnacentral:ncRNA from 1 species